CUUGGUGAUUUGGCGGUGGGGUCACACCCGUUCUCAUUCCGAACACGGAAGUUAAGCUCACUUGCGGCGAUGGUACUCACUGUUACAGGUGGGGAGAGUAGCUAGUCGCCAGGA
rnacentral:rRNA from 1 species